UUAUUAGAUCAAUUUUUUAAAAAUUAUUAUUAAUAUUAUUUUUACUAUUAUUUUGUUAAAUAACUGCUUUCUAUGUAUAUGAAAGAGGUAAUAGCCUGACUGAUUUUUAUUAACUAUGGAAGAACUUGGAGGUUUCUUAGGGAGAAAAGUGAGAUGUCACAGUUGAGCUUCUGUUAUAAAUAGCUGCUGAAGUGCAAUCUGUGGAGUACAAGGAGAAAUUUAGCAACCUGGCUGGGGCAGCAAGUGGUCAUUAUAUAUGCGCUUGGUAGAACAAUAUAAUUGAGAUUGAUUUUUUUAAGUAGUCUGACAUGAAGGCUUAAUAAGAGAUUGCUAUGACUCCUUGAUUAAAUAUCUUAGCACCUUGUAAGAAAGAGCACUUAAAUGACAAUUCAGAAUAUGGAAGGGUUGUCUGUGCAAGUGGACCAAUUCUUCUGACUCUGUUCUUUAAUGUUAAAUUUAGCAAGGAUGCCUCCAUGAUAGUUUUUAAUGGGUAUUUGAGAAACAGUGUGCAACACAGGUAAGAGUAGAAUAAGUCAGUUUUAAUUCCUGACAUUUUUUAAACUAAAAAAGCAGUUUAAAUCCUGCAUUUUUGUUUCCUAUAUAUAUAUAUAUAUUUUUUUCUUUCUAAGUUGCCUGUGUUUUUUGUAUAACAGAGGUAAAUCUAUUUUCCCCCUUAUGUAAUAACAUAAGGGAAAUUAAUUUAAAAAUCACUUGGUGAGAAGCGUGGGAGGAAAACAUAUCAUCCUUACUCUGUUUAAAAUUAUUUUUAAUAGCACACUAGGUAUAUUGGCAGACAUAGAUGGAAAGUAAUUAUACAUAGAACAUUUUAAAGUAAAAAGUAAUGAAAAUAAUGUGAAAUACUCCCUCCACAAGAGUCCUAUGUGAUAGAAAUGCAAAUUUGUUGCAGUAACAGACAAUAAUUGAGUAUUAUGCAGUGACUGGGUAAAUCAAUGCAACUGUGAUUAACUCACUAAUGCCAAUUAGAAGUAGUAAAUUUUAAGUGUUAUAAUUCAUCAGCAUUAAGCAUUGAUUUGAAAUUGAUUGCAAAACAAGCAGUUUGACAAAUUGUCAUCUUUGUAUUCCUUGUGGUGCAGUACUUCCACAGGUGUUCUGCUUUUAUUUAUUUAUUUAUUUUUUUGGUGCCUGAUCACAUGCUCCCCCCCCCCCCCC
rnacentral:lncRNA from 1 species